UGGGGAAUUUUGGACAAUGGGCGCAAGCCUGAUCCAGCAAUGCCGCGUGCAGGAUGAAGGCCUUCGGGUUGCAAACUGCUUUUGUACGGAGCGAAAAGGUCUGCCCUAAUACGGUGGGCUCAUGACGGUACCGUAAGAAUAAGCACCGGCUAACUACGUGCCAGCAGCCGCGGUAAUACGUAGGGUGCGAGCGUUAAUCGGAAUUACUGGGCGUAAAGCGCGCGUAGGUGGUUCAGCAAGUUGGAUGUGAAAGCCCCGGGCUCAACCUGGGAACUGCAUCCAAAACUACUGAGCUAGAGUACGGUAGAGGGUGGUGGAAUUUCCUGUGUAGCGGUGAAAUGCGUAGAUAUGCGGAGGAACACCGAUGGCGAAGGCAAUCCCCUGGACCUGUACUGACGCUCAUGCACGAAAGCGUGGGGAGCAAACA
rnacentral:rRNA from 1 species